rnacentral:tRNA from 1 species
ACCUGACUGGCUCAGUUGGUAAAGCAUGAGACUCUUGAUCUUGGGGUUGUGAAUUUGAGCCUCAUGUAUGGUG